rnacentral:rRNA from 1 species
UACGUAGGUGGCAAGCGUUGUCCGGAAUUACUGGGUGUAAAGCGCGUGUAGGCGGCAGACCAAGUCGGCGGUGAAAGCGCCCGGCUCAACUGGGCGAGGUCCGUGGAAACUGGUCAGCUGGAGGACGGUAGAGGCGAGUGGAAUUCCCGGUGUAGUGGUGAAAUGCGUAGAGAUCGGGAGGAACACCUGUGGCGAAGGCGGCCUACUGGGCCGGACCUGACGCUGAGACGCGAAGGCGUGGGGAGCGAACGGG